CGGGUGAGUAAUGUAUGGGGAUCUGCCUGAUGGCGGGGGAUAACUACUGGAAACGGUAGCUAAUACCGCAUAAUGUCUGCGGACCAAAGCGGGGGACCUCCGGGCCUCUGGCCAUCGGAUGUGCCCAGAUGGGAUUAGCUAGUAGGUGGGGUAACGGCUCACCUAGGCGACGAUCCCUAGCUGGUCUGAGAGGAUGACCAGCCACACUGGAACUGAGACACGGUCCAG
rnacentral:rRNA from 1 species